ACGCUAGCUACAGGCUUAACACAUGCAAGUCGAGGGGCAGCAUGGUCUUAGCUUGCUAAGGCCGAUGGCGACCGGCGCACGGGUGAGUAACACGUAUCCAACCUGCCGUCUACUCUUGGACAGCCUUCUGAAAGGAAGAUUAAUACAAGAUGGCAUCAUGAGUCCGCAUGUUCACAUGAUUAAAGGUAUUCCGGUAGACGAUGGGGAUGCGUUCCAUUAGAUAGUAGGCGGGGUAACGGCCCACCUAGUCUUCGAUGGAUAGGGGUUCUGAGAGGAAGGUCCCCCCACAUUGGAACUGAGACACGGUCCAAACUCCUACGGGAGGCAGCAGUGAGGAAUAUUGGUCAAUGGGCGAGAGCCUGAACCAGCCAAGUAGCGUGAAGGAUGACUGCCCUAUGGGUUGUAAACUUCUUUUAUAAAGGAAUAAAGUCGGGUAUGGAUACCCGUUUGCAUGUACUUUAUGAAUAAGGAUCGGCUAACUCCGUGCCAGCAGCCGCGGUAAUACGGAGGAUCCGAGCGUUAUCCGGAUUUAUUGGGUUUAAAGGGAGCGUAGAUGGAUGUUUAAGUCAGUUGUGAAAGUUUGCGGCUCAACCGUAAAAUUGCAGUUGAUACUGGAUAUCUUGAGUGCAGUUGAGGCAGGCGGAAUUCGUGGUGUAGCGGUGAAAUGCUUAGAUAUCACGAAGAACUCCGAUUGCGAAGGCAGCCUGCUAAGCUGCAACUGACAUUGAGGCUCGAAAGUGUGGGUAUCAAACAGGAUUAGAUACCCUGGUAGUCCACACGGUAAACGAUGAAUACUCGCUGUUUGCGAUAUACGGCAAGCGGCCAAGCGAAAGCGUUAAGUAUUCCACCUGGGGAGUACGCCGGCAACGGUGAAAUUCAAAGGAAUUGACGGGGGCCCGCACAAGCGGAGGAACAUGUGGUUUAAUUCGAUGAUACGCGAGGAACCUUACCCGGGCUUAAAUUGCAGAUGAAUUACGGUGAAAGCCGUAAGCCGCAAGGCAUCUGUGAAGGUGCUGCAUGGUUGUCGUCAGCUCGUGCCGUGAGGUGUCGGCUUAAGUGCCAUAACGAGCGCAACCCUUGUUGUCAGUUACUAACAGGUUCUGCUGAGGACUCUGACAAGACUGCCAUCGUAAGAUGUGAGGAAGGUGGGGAUGACGUCAAAUCAGCACGGCCCUUACGUCCGGGGCUACACACGUGUUACAAUGGGGGGUACAGAGGGCCGCUACCACGCGAGUGGAUGCCAAUCCCCAAAACCUCUCUCAGUUCGGACUGGAGUCUGCAACCCGACUCCACGAAGCUGGAUUCGCUAGUAAUCGCGCAUCAGCCACGGCGCGGUGAAUACGUUCCCGGGCCUUGUACACACCGCCCGUCAAGCCAUGGGAGCCGGGGGUACCUGAAGUGCGUAACCGCGAGGAGCGCCCUAGGGUAAAACUGGUGACUGGGGCUAAGU
rnacentral:rRNA from 1 species